GACGAACGCUGGCGGCGUGCUUAACACAUGCCAGUCGAACGGAAAGGCCCUGCUUUUGUGGGGUGCUCGAGUGGCGAACGGGUGAGUAACACGUGAGUAACCUGCCCUUGACUUUGGGAUAACUUCAGGAAACUGGGGCUAAUACCGGAUAGGAGCUCCUGCUGCAUGGUGGGGGUUGGAAAGUUUCGGCGGUUGGGGAUGGACUCGCGGCUUAUCAGCUUGUUGGUGGGGUAGUGGCUUACCAAGGCUUUGACGGGUAGCCGGCCUGAGAGGGUGAGCGGCCACAUUGGGACUGAGAUACGGCCCAGACUCCUACGGGAGGCAGCAGUGGGGAAUAUUGCACAAUGGGCGGAAGCCUGAUGCAGCAACGCCGCGUGCGGGAUGACGGCCUUCGGGUUGUAAACCGCUUUCGCCUGUGACGAAGCGUGAGUGGCGGUAAUGGGUAAAGAAGCACCGGCUAACUACGUG
rnacentral:rRNA from 1 species